rnacentral:rRNA from 1 species
CACCAGGCGCGAAAACUUUGCAAUGCGGGAAACCGUGACAAGGGAACUCUGAGUGCCCGUUAAAUCGGGCUGUCCAUCGGUUUAAAUAACCGGUGAAGAAAGGGCCGGGCAAGACCGGUGCCAGCCGCCGCGGUAAUACCGGCGGCUCGAGUGGUGGCCACUAUUACUGGGCUUAAAGCGUUCGUAGCUGGUUUGUUAAGUCUCUGGGGAAAUCUUCCGGCUUAACCGGAAGGCGUCUCAGGGAUACUGGCAGACUAGGGACCGGGAGAGGUGAGAGGUACUCCAGGGGUAGGAGUGAAAUCCUGUAAUCCUUGGGGGACCACCUGUGGCGAAGGCGUCUCACCAGAACGGCUCCGACAGUGAGGGACGAAAGCUGGGGGAGCAAACCGGAUUAGAUACCCGGGUAGUCCCAGCUGUAAACGAUGCGCGUUAGGUGUAUCGGUGACCACGAGUCACCGAGGUGCCGAAGAGAAAUCGUGAAACGUGCCGCCUGGGAAGUACGGUCGCAAGGCUGAAACUUAAAGGAAUUGG